rnacentral:rRNA from 1 species
UACGAAGGGGGCUAGCGUUGCUCGGAAUCACUGGGCGUAAAGGGCGCGUAGGCGGCGUUUUAAGUCGGGGGUGAAAGCCUGUGGCUCAACCACAGAAUGGCCUUCGAUACUGGGACGCUUGAGUAUGGUAGAGGUUGGUGGAACUGCGAGUGUAGAGGUGAAAUUCGUAGAUAUUCGCAAGAACACCGGUGGCGAAGGCGGCCAACUGGACCAUUACUGACGCUG